GCCCUCUUGGCUCAGUGGUAAAGCGCAUCACUAGUAAUAGUAAAUGAUGAGAUCACUGGUUCGAUUCCAGUAGGGGGCA